rnacentral:rRNA from 1 species
GACGAACGCUGGCGGCGUGCUUAACACAUGCCAGUCGAACGGAAAGGCCCUGCUCUUGUUGGUUUCUCGAUUGGCGAACGGGUGAGUAACACGCGAGUAACCUGCCCUUGUCUGUGGGAUAACUUCAGGAAACUGCGGCUAAUACCGGGUAGGAGCUCCUGCUGCAUGUGGGGGGUUGGAAAGUUUCGGCUGUUGGGGAUGGACUCGCGGCUUAUCAGCUUGUUUGUGUGGUAGUGGCUUACCAAGGCUUUGACGGGUAGGCGGCAUGGGAGGGUGACCGGCCACAUGGGGACUGAGAGAGGGAGCAGACUCCUAUGGGAGGCAGCAGUGGGGAAUCUUGCACAGUGGGCGGGAGCCUGAUGCAGAAACGCCGCGUGCGGAAUGACGGCCUUCGGGUUGUAAACAGAUUUCGCAUGUGACGAAGCGUGAGUGACGGUAAUGGGUAAAGAAGCAACGGCUAACUACGUG